ACGUAGGGGGCAAGCGUUAUCCGGAUUUACUGGGUGUAAAGGGAGCGUAGACGGCUGUACAAGUCUGAAGUGAAAGGCAUGGGCUCAACCUGUGGACUGCUUUGGAAACUGUGCAGCUAGAGUGUCGGAGAGGUAAGUGGAAUUCCUAGUGUAGCGGUGAAAUGCGUAGAUAUUAGGAGGAACACCAGUGGCGAAGGCGGCUUACUGGACGAUGACUGACGUUGAGGCUCGAAAGCGUGGGGAGCAAACAG
rnacentral:rRNA from 1 species